UAACAUUUGGAAACAGAUGCUAAUACCGCAUAGAUCCAAGAACCGCAUGGUUCUUGGCUGAAAGAUGGCGUAAGCUAUCGCUUUUGGAUGGACCCGCGGCGUAUUAGCUAGUUGGUGAGGUAAUGGCUCACCAAGGCGAUGAUACGUAGCCGAACUGAGAGGUUGAUCGGCCACAUUGGGACUGAGACACGGCCCAAACUCCUACGGGAGGCAGCAGUAGGGAAUCUUCCACAAUGGACGCAAGUCUGAUGGAGCAACGCCGCGUGAGUGAAGAAGGCUUUCGGGUCGUAAAACUCUGUUGUUGGAGAAGAAUGGUCGGCAGAGUAACUGUUGCCGGCGUGACGGUAUCCAACCAGAAAGCCACGGCUAACUACGUGCCAGCAGCCGCGGUAAUACGUAGGUGGCAAGCGUUAUCCGGAUUUAUUGGGCGUAAAGCGAGCGCAGGCGGUUUUUUAAGUCUGAUGUGAAAGCCCUCGGCUUAACCGAGGAAGCGCAUCGGAAACUGGGAAACUUGAGUGCAGAAGAGGACAGUGGAACUCCAUGUGUAGCGGUGAAAUGCGUAGAUAUAUGGAAGAACACCAGUGGCGAAGGCGGCUGUCUGGUCUGUAACUGACGCUGAGGCUCGAAAGCAUGGGUAGCGA
rnacentral:rRNA from 1 species